rnacentral:lncRNA from 1 species
AACUUUCACCCCGCCUGGCAGCCCGCUGAGAGCGAGAGAAAACCACGUGCACCAAACUUUAGGGGAGGAAAAAUGGGAACGUGGGGAGAAGACGUGAGGCGGCAGAUCUGAAAAAGAUGGUAGGUGGAGGGACCCCAGGGAUUCACCCUGGCCUCGGACUAAUCCUAUGGGGCGCUUGCAAACCCCGGCCAUCCCCUGGAGUCUGAAGAAGUUGGCACGGAGUAGGGGCCCAGUGAUGGACUGAAGAAGGAAUGAGUGGGCACACCUGCUGCAC